rnacentral:rRNA from 1 species
AUUAGAUACCCUGGUAGUCCACGCCGUAAACGAUGUCUACUUGGAGGUUGUGCCCUUGAGGCGUGGCUUCCGGAGCUAACGCGUUAAGUAGACCGCCUGGGGAGUACGGCCGCAAGGUUAAAACUCAAAUGAAUUGACGGGGGCCCGCACAAGCGGUGGAGCAUGUGGUUUAAUUCGAUGCAACGCGAAGAACCUUACCUGGUCUUGACAUCCACAGAACUUUCCAGAGAUGGACUGGUGCCUUCGGGAACUGUGAGACAGGUGCUGCAUGGCUGUCGUCAGCUCGUGUUGUGAAAUGUUGGGUUAAGUCCCGCAACGAGCGCAACCCUUAUCCUUUGUUGCCAGCGAUUAGGUCGGGAACUCAAAGGAGACUGCCAGUGAUAAACUGGAGGAAGGUGGGGAUGACGUCAAGUCAUCAUGGCCCUUACGACCAGGGCUACACACGUGCUACAAUGGCGCAUACAAAGAGAAGCGACCUCGCGAGAGCAAGCGGACCUCAUAAAGUGCGUCGUAGUCCGGAUUGGAGUCUGCAACUCGACUCCAUGAAGUCGGAAUCGCUAGUAAUCGUGGAUCAGAAUGCCACGGUGAAUACGUUCCCGGGCCUUGUACACACCGCCCGUCACACCAUGGGAGUGGGUUGCAAAAGAAGUAGGU